AGAACGAACGCUGGCGGCAUGCCUAAUACAUGCAAGUCGAGCGAACACUUCGGUGUUAGUGGCGCACGGGUGCGUAACGCGUGGGAAUCUGCCCUUGGGUUCGGAAUAACAGUUGGAAACGACUGCUAAUACCGGAUGAUAUCGAAAGAUCAAAGAUUUAUCGCCCAGGGAUGAGCCCGCGUAGGAUUAGCUAGUUGGUGAGGUAAAGGCUCACCAAGGCGACGAUCCUUAGCUGGGUCUGAGAGGAUGAUCAGCCACACUGGGACUGAGACACGGCCCAGACUCCGUACGGGAGGCAG
rnacentral:rRNA from 1 species